ACUGUUCUGGGAUCAGGAGGAUGGGCCGUGAAGCGCGAAUAGACUCUUAAAAAGAGUUUUUAAUGUCCGCCAUGUUGUUCAUGGUGAACUGAACCAGAGAAAGGGACCGUUGCCGUUAGGAAAAGUAGACAGAGAGAGAGCGAAUAAGACCCGGGCCUUUGGGUUUCGCUCGCAACACCAUAAUUAUACCUACCACAAAUCGAAACGUAGACUCCGGGAUCCCGAAAUAAAACCUUUCAUGACAUCUGUGUUGAUAUCAAUGGUUACCAUUAGGAGACCGGACACAUUUAUUCUGCAUCUCGUUUUAUUUAAAAAAUGAGCAAAUUGUCGUUUCGGGCACGAGCGCUGGACGCGUCCAAGCCUCUCCCCGUGUUCCGCUGUGAGGAUCUACCUGACCUACACGAAUAUGUGUCUAUUAACCGGGCUGUGCCACAGAUGCCAACCGGGAUGGAGAAAGAAGAGGAAUCGGAGCAUCAUUUGCAGCGGGCAAUCUCGGCACAACAGGUGUAUGGGGAGAAGAAGGACAGCAUGGUAAUUCCUGUUCCUGCCGCUGAGAGCAACAUCACUUACUAUGAGAGACUCUAUCCAGGUGACUUUAAGAUGCCGAAGCAACUAAUCCACAUACAGCCCUUUAGCUUGGACACAGAGCAACCAGAUUAUGACCUGGAUUCAGAAGAUGAAGUGUUCGUUACCAGACUAAGAAAGAAAAUGGAGGUGGGGGCUCUACAGUUUGAGGAGAUGCUCGAUCGGCUGGAGAAAGGCAGUGGGCAGCAGUUGGUGACUUUGCAAGGGGCAAAACUCCUUCUCAAGCAGGAUGAUGAGUUAAUCAUGGAGGUGUUUGAGUAUUGGAGCAAGAAAAGAAAAUCAUGUCAAAGUGGCUCUCUAAUUCCAUCUGUAAAACAGGAGAAGCGAGAUGGUUCAAGCACCAAUGACCCCUAUGUUGCUUUCAGGCGUAGGACUGAAAAAAUGCAGACCAGGAAGAAUCGUAAGAAUGAUGAGGUUUCAUAUGAGAAGAUGUUAAAGUUAAGAAGAGAUCUAAGUAGAGCCGUUACCAUACUGGAAAUGAUAAAGAGACGAGAGAAGAGCAAGAGAGAAUUGUUGCACCUCACACUGGAGAUCGUGGAGAAGAGGAAUUGUAUGGCUGAUUUUGGGGGUGAGGUUUUGGCAGAGGUUCUGGCACAGCAGGCAUUAGAGAAGACCAUUAUUCCCCUAAUCCCCAUCACCACCAGCAGCCAGUACAGACAUACAGAACAUGACAGUGACUACAAGAACAAGGUGGACAAGCAAGAAGUGGUACGUCAGAAGAAGAAGCAUGAGAAAAAGCCGAAAACCAUGCUGCUAUCUGGUCACCCUAUCCCUGCUUCAGUCAGCAAUAAAGCCCUUAACCAGUAUGAUUUCCCUAGCUCGGAGGAAGAGCCCAGCUCUCAGCUAUUUUCUGGCUCGUCAGAAGCAGAGGAGGAGAAUGAACCUGAUGGUGUGUUUGCAUUUAGACGCAGGUCUGGCUGCCACUAUCAAUCCGUGUGUGGAGAGCAGGAUUCAUGGCCAUGGUCAGAUCCUGUUGAGGCUGGUUUGGGAGACGCUCGCUACCGUUACUCUCUCACCACACUCACCUUACCUCAUCGAUGUGUGGGUUUAGCACGACGAAGAGUUGGAAGAGGGGGCAGGAUUCUCUUGGACCGGGCUUAUUGUGACUGGGAUGCUGUGUAUCAUGAGUUGGACUUAGGUUGUCCCAUCUCCUCAUUUAUCCACCAGUCUGUUAGUACCAGUUGUCAUACCAUUAUCCGGACCUCUGCCUCGGUUCCUUCUUUCUCCUACUCUUCUACAUACUCAUCAGACCUCUCACAAGUCCUCCAUAAUAUUAAGACCUGUCGCUGGAGGCACUUCAAACCUUGGACAGCCCUGACCCAUGACCUCAGUAACCUCCGAUCCUGCUCAGCACAGAAGCUGAGCUUUGGCCGCUACGGUCCAGCCAGAAAUCAAGCCAACAUCAGACCAGCUGUCCCUCCAGCCACACCUGUGUUUACAGCUGAGCAGUAUCAUGACCAUCAGGAGCAACUAGCCUUGAUGAAAAGAGAGCAGCUGGAGCAGGUACAGCAACAGCACCGAGUCAAUGCCAGGACACCGACCUUAGACUCUUUAACUGCACAGUUUGCUGCCUCUGCACUGGUGACUUCGGAACAGCUGAUGGCAAUGAAGUGUAAAGAGGAAGGUAUUCUGGGUGUUGGAAUCAAUGGAGUUAUAUCAGCUUCAGCAGGAUUCUGUAAGGGCUUACAUCACACAAGAACAACAUCCAACAGCCCCAUACCUACCUCUAACAAUCGCCAGUGCAACUCCCCUAUCUCCGGCUCCAACAAUGGGACUUCCUCAUCUAAUCACCAUGUUGGCUCAGUCAGCUCUGUCCCUGCACAGGUGCUGUUAGCUGGGGCAAUGAAAGUGGGUGUGCCAUCACCAGGUGCAGCAUUAAGUGUACGGCAUCUUCACCGUCAGCUCACAGUUCCAUCUUCUGCCCUAAAACUGGCUGCGAAUGUCAGCAGGCAGCUCCCUAAAGUCACGACCGGCUCCACUUCACUUGACAUGGGCACUAGAUCACUCUCUUGAGUUUCACCUGUUUUCCCUGUGUCUGCAUGGGCUUCCCUCCAGGAUCUCCAGUUUCCUACACCACACAAAAGCAUACGGGGAAAAUCACGAUCAAGAGAAGUCAACAUUGAACAAUAUAACAGAAAACACUGUAGCAAUGGAGGUUACGUAGCCCCCUCUUUUUUCAUCUCCCCAUGAUUUGGGUAUCCAAGCUAGGUGCUGUGCAUCAGUGAGAGUGUGUCUACGGCAGCUGUUGGGACUAUACUGCAGUGGUUGCCACUUAAUGUUUUGUUACAGUCAUCUGUAAAUUAUGAAAUAAGCAUUUAUUCUAUGUACACAUUUGUUAUAUGGCCCUUUGUACAUAACAUUUACUUGAAUACAAAAAUUGUUCAGUUAUGUUUUGCACUUUUGGGUGAGGUGGGGGGUGGGGCGACCUCUCGGAGUGAAUGGUGGUGUCUAUGUUCAUAUGGUGAUGUGAGAUCAGAUGUAAACCUGGUGUUGUAUCUAUUUAUUGUGAGGUGUUUACAGGAAAUGUAGCUUGUUUUUUUGUACUGUGUGACCUCUUGGGGGCUCUGAGUGGGUGUCUGUGUGUCUAACAAUAUUAUGUGGUAGUUUUCUUGUGAAAAGAUGCAUUUUUUCUGUUUGUUCUGUUCCCUUGUUCUACAAUCCACCCAUUUCAUGGUCAUUUGUGUGAAAGAUUGAUUGCUUGCAUGUAGACAAACACAUACAUAGAUUCAUUGUCUGCUUUAAUAAGAAUACCUGUACACAUGCUCAUUUAUAUAUCUAAUCAGCCAAGCUUGUGAGUGCAAGAGCUUCAGUUCAUGAUAACCAUGUGAAUAGGGAAAAGGAGGAUCUUUGUGACUAUAACCAUGGCAUGAAGCUAAAUUUGCUGGAGUAUUUCAGAAAAAAUAUGUCCUAGUUUUUACACACAACAGCUUCUAGUGUCAAGUCAAGUCAAGAAGCUUUUAUUGUCAUUUGAAAUAAGACGUUUCUCCAGGACCAUGGUGCUACAUAGAACAAAGACAGAGCUAAGGACUUAGUAAGUAGUCCUAGCCACAUAAAGUGCAUCUGUGUAGAUUUACAGCCAAAGGUAACAUUGGGUUCCAUUCCUAUCAACCAAGAACAACAAUUUGAGAUUUUCAAGGGCACAGACUCACCCAAACUGUACAGUUCAAGAUUAAGGUGAAUGAAAUCCUGGUCUUUUGCCAAUAUUUUGUAGUCUAAUUUGGGUGAGCCCGACAUGGUUUGCUAAGGUUGGUGUGGAAGAACUAAAGUUGCCCUGACCGCAACCCCACAGAACACCUUUGGGACUCCCCAAACCACACGAAAUGUAAGCCAGCCCUCCUGGUCCAACAUAAGUGUUCUAAAAAUCUCACUGGUGUUUAGUGGUGAUCAGGGUCUGUGCAGGCCAAUUGAGUUUCUCCAGUUGCCGAUUUGUAUAAAGGAACAGGACAGGGCCUUCCCCAACUUAAGUUGGAAACAUUUUACUUUAUAUGCUGUUGCAUAAGCAUCCAACUACAACCCCAAAAAACAACCCCAAAUACAUAUACAAUUUGACCUUAGCUUCAGCUUAGCUUAGCUGCCAGUUUGAUGUUUC